UCCGGUGUGGCGCAAUGGUAGCGCAAUCGGCUGUUAACCGAUGGGUCACAGGUUCGAGUCCUGUCACCGGAGCCA
rnacentral:tRNA from 1 species